GACGAACGCUGGCGGCGUGCUUAACACAUGCAAGUCAAACGAUGAACCCGGAGCUUGCUCCGGCGGAUUAGUGGCGAACGGGUGAGUAACACGUGAGUAACCUGCCCUUGACUCUGGGAUAACUGCUAGAAAUGGUAGCUAAUACCGGAUACGACCCUCGGUGGCAUCACCAGGGGGUGGAAAGAAUUUCGGUCAAGGAUGGACUCGCGGCCUAUCAGCUAGUUGGUGAGGUAACGGCUCACCAAGGCGACGACGGGUAGCCGGCCUGGGAGGGGGACCGGCCACACUGGGACUGAGACACGGCCCAGACUCCUACGGGAGGCAGCGGUGGGGAAUAUUGCACAAUGGGCGCAAGCCUGAUGCAGCAACGCCGCGUGAGGGAUGACGGCCUUCGGGUUGUAACCUCUUUUUGUAGGGAGGAAGCGAAAGUGACGGUACCUGCAGAAAAAGCACCGGCUAACUACGUGCCAGCCGCCGCGGUAA
rnacentral:rRNA from 1 species